GAUGAACGCUGGCGGUCUGCUUAACACAUGCAAGUCGAACGGAAUCCUUCGGGAUUUAGUGGCGGACGGGUGAGUAACACGUGAGAAUCUGCACUCAGGAUGGGGACAACAGCGGGAAACUGCUGCUAAUACCCAAGGUGCCGAAAGGCAAAAGAUUUAUCGCCUGAGAAUGAGCUCGGGGCCGAUUAGUUAGUUGGUGGGGUAAUGGCCUACCAAGACGGCGAUCGGUAGCUGGUCUGAGGGGAUGAGCAGCCACACUGGGACUGGGACACGGCCCAGACUCCUACGGGAGGCAGUAGUGGGGAAUUUUCCGCAAUGGGCGCAAGCCUGACGGAGCAAGACCGCGUGGGGGAGGAAGGCUCUUGGGUUGUAAACCCCUUUUCUCAAGGAAGAACAAAAUGACGGUACUUGAGGAAUCAGCCUCGGCUAACUCCGUGCCAGCAGCCGCCGUAACAC
rnacentral:rRNA from 1 species